rnacentral:tRNA from 1 species
GUCGAUAUGUCCGAGUGGUUAAGGAGGUAGACUCGAAAUCCACUGGGCUUUGCCCGCGCAGGUUCGAAUCCUGCUGUCGACG